rnacentral:rRNA from 1 species
ACCGGAUGCGGAUCUCGAAAGCCUGUCCCAGUUCGGACUGGAGUCUGCAACCCGACUCCACGAAGUUGGGUUCGCUAGUAAUCGCGCAUCAGCCAUGGCGCGGUGAAUACGUUCCCGGGCCUUGUACACACCGCCCGUCAAGCCAUGGGAGCCGGGGGCGCCUGAAGUCCGGGGCCGCGAGGACCGGCCUAGGGCGAAACUGGUAACUGGGGCUAAGUCGUAACAAGGUAGC